rnacentral:rRNA from 1 species
GGCGAACGGGUGAGUAACACGUGGGUGAUCUGCCUUGCACUUCGGGAUAAGCCUGGGAAACUGGGUCUAAUACCGGAUAGGACCAUGCUUUAGUGUGUGUGGUGGAAAGUUUUUUCGGUGCAAGAUGAGCUCGCGGCCUAUCAGCUUGUUGGUGGGGUAAUGGCCUACCAAGGCGUCGACGGGUAGCCGGCCUGAGAGGGUGUACGGCCACAUUGGGACUGAGAUACGGCCCAG